rnacentral:rRNA from 1 species
UACGGGGGGGGCAAGCGUUGUUCGGAAUUACUGGGCGUAAAGGGCGCGUAGGCGGCCUGCUAAGUCGGAUGUGAAAACUCUGGGCUCAACCCAGAGCCUGCAUUCGAUACUGACGGGCUAGAGUACUGGAGGGGAAAGCGGAAUUCCUGGUGUAGCGGUGAAAUGCGUAGAUAUCAGGAGGAACACCUGUGGUGUAGACAGCUUACUGGACCACGACUGACGCUGAGACACGAAAGCGUGGGUAGCAAACAGG